AGUGAGUUAAAAUUCAAUUCAAUUCAAUUUUUGUUUCAGGGAAAACCACCCAUACGAUGUCUGUGAAGUCAUAUCUACACCAAUUACAACUGGAAACCAUGCUUAUCUUGAUUGGAUUAGUGAAAUUGUGCCGGAGAAGUAAGAAAGAAGACGACAGUAGAGAACAUAGCUAUUGAAACUGAAACAGCCACCAUCGCACGGAGACCAGUUUUUAAUAGGGAUUGAAAUUUAUCACAGAUUAUAACUAUACCCUUUUUUUCUCAGAAUAGAUUCCUCGAUUAUCCAUAAACGAUAUCAUGAACAUAUUGUGCUGUACAGCCAAAUGCCAGUAGAAUAAAAUGGAGUAUAUUUUGCAGAAGUUGACCCCUUAAAUAAUAUCAGCUUUUAUAUUAAAACA